GGAGAUGCAUCGCAGGAAAUUACUUGUGUUGUGAAAAGGCCUCAGAUACAUCUGAGCUCAGUUAGUUCUUGAUUGGCUGGACUAUUGCAAAAAUAGCCCUGCGAUGAUUGAGAAUGGUAGGCAAAGGGCUGUAUCUGUGACUUUGUAAGGAAUAAACACUAGCUCGACACCUUUUCAUCAGUAUGAUUUCCUAGGAUGUUGGUGUCUUUCACCCACCCACCCCAGAUAAUCAGCUUGGAAAACUAAAGCAGAUUCUUACUGUCAGUUUUGCCUCCUGCCUGGUAAAACUCCACCAGGUUUAGCAGUAACUUGGCAAGCCGUAUACCUUUUGUUUAUCGGAAAACACUGCAUGUGGCUAAGUUAUAGCCUUGCGUCUUCCUCUUUCUCUCACAUAAACGGAUGCAAAAACACCUGGGGGCCCCCUCUGUAUCCCAUAGAGUUUAUAUUUGCAAAUAAAAUCAGUAAAUUACAUUAGUUGCUCUGCACAGGCAUUGGAGGCAGAGACAGGGCCUCUGGCCCAGGACAAGAGGUUUGGUAGAGGAAGGUAAAAAGGGAGUGUGAGAGAGAGAGCGUGAGUGAUUUAGUCUGUCCUGCCUGGAUGCCAUAGGAUGGGCUUAGUCAGCACAGGAUCAAUUACAUUCAUCUUGGAGAUUCUGCUCUCAGGGUGAGGUUUCCUAGAGGUACAGUUUCUUUGCGGGGUGAGAGGAGGACUGAGAAUCCUGGGUUGAGGAACCGCUCUAGGGGUGGGAGUGCAGAUGGUGCAAAGAGCCAUUUUCUCUAGCAAAGGGCAAAAAUAAAUAAAUAAAGUGGCUGGGUUAUAGAGCAGAGACCUAGAACCCUGGCACUCUAGAGCAUGUAGCUAAGAGAAGGUUCUAGAAUGGCAGGAGCCAAUUCUCCCAGCACAAGAACCAGAAAAGAUCCUCAAGCGAAUAAUUCAGAUCCACCCAGUUGGGCUUUGUGGGAUGAGGUGGGAAGUGAAGGCCUUUUGGGACCAAGCUGGGCCCUUAGAGCAGAAACUCUGUGCCAGGCUUGAGGAUGAGAUGGGAAGUCAGGAAUUGGGUAGGAAUCUUGAGAGAUGGAGAAACUACACCUCUUGGCUCAGGAGCCAAUCUGGGUCAUUGCAAAGGUGCAGUUGUUAACAACUGGGAUUUCUGGGCUCUCUCCAAGAAAAAUGUGGGUGGAGGGGGGUGAGAUGAAAGAGGGGGAAGUCUAUUAUACAUCACACCUGGGUGCUACAAGGCCAGGUGUGGAGGGCAAUUAUAAACUUGGUGACUCACACCAGAGGAGAGGAUUAAAUGGGGUGGAGGGGAGUGUACCAACCUCCUUCCCUGUAGCCCCUGUCCCCCACCCAGCAACCACAAAAAUCAAAACACAACCCAGUGUCAAAUGCAGGCAUUACCACCCCUUUCCCCCUCCCCUCCCCCUCCCCAAUAAUCAUUCCCAGGGAACAGAUCCCUGAAUCACAAAGUCAACAUUACAUAUUUCAUUUCAGUACAUUAAGGCAAGAGGAUUCAAUGCUGCGGUUCUCAACCCUUCUAGGACCAGUACACCCUCAGACAACCCAGUUUAAUGCUGGGAAAUUUAUAAUCCCUUCUUGGAGAACCCAGGAGUCCUGCCUCUGCCUCAACCCAUUCAGCCCAAGUGUCUUUUUGAAGAACUCAGGAUUCCCUGGGUGACUCCUAAAUCCCCUUUCGCCCCAUAUGCAUUAGAUCCCACUUUCUGCCCAAAUAUGAGGACUAGAUCUUUAGCUAAAAGCAGUAUCUUAUCCAAAUUUUGACUAAGUAGUUGCUCACUCUUUCUAGAAAGCUGAGGAAUCCUGCCUUCUGGAGUUUCUGACCUGCUUGCUUCAUUCCUCUUAAAUCAUACACUUCUCCCCAAGUUUGGGAUCUUUCCCCUUCCCUUGCAGUGAUAUGGAAACAGCAGUAGUGUAAGUGGGGGAGGGAGUACAGAGCAUAAUGCGCUCUUGCCAAAGGCUCCACUAUGGAGAAGGCCCAGAGGGAAGACGGGCACUUCCUUGGGCACUGCCUGCCCUUUCCUCUCCACAAUCCAACAGAGAAUUUCUUGGGGAUCAUAGUUGGGGUCUCCUGUGCACAUGAACUGCUACUUAAUAAUGGCUCUGAGAAAUAGGACCCCCUAGUUAAUUAUUCUCCCAAAGUAGGCCAUAUACCUCCAAUCAUACAAUCCAUAACUGCCACCUUUCCAAGCCCCCCUCCCCAAAAUUACAUAUGUAGCGUUGACUGUUCCUCCUGUUCCAUCUCCUAGUUACCAUUUCCCUAUGAGGUCACCCAUGCCUCUUUUAAAGAACCCAGGAGAACUGGUCCAGUUCCCCUACCUUGAUAAAUCCUUGAAGCCCCCAUUUUCCCCUCCUAGAGCGCCCAAGAGUCCUGGCUCCAGAUCCUUCUCCCCAUAACUGUUCUCUUUCUCCCUACCCCCCCCCCCCACCAAUCAAGUAGCUUUAGUUCCCCCACUUACCCAGAGCUGGGACAUGAAUCUAUGAGGGCCGCCCACGUGAGGAGCUGAGAACGGCAGCACAGAUACCCCCCUCCCACCCAUAAUUGGAGAGGAGAUCGUGUUUCCUGCCUCCCCGCAACAUCAUCAUUAUGGAAGACAUUCUAAAGUUUUGUUUGUUUCGUUUCGCUCCCUUGUUGGGGUCUGUGGACAGGAGGUGCCAGUGCGGCCAGUCCGACGAGACGAGACAAGAGCCCUUUUUUAAAAGAAAAGAAAAGAUGGCCGCUCGACCAGCAGCACUCAGGUGCAGUGUCGGCGGCAGGUGUCAAUUAUCCACACAGUGAGGGGGAGGGCAUUUCGCCACGUGGCACUACAGUGUGGCCUCGGCGACUCUUGGGGCGCAGUGGGGCAAACGACAGCCACGAGUCUGGAGCUGGGGUGGGGGCAGGGUGAGGCCACGUGGUAUGGAGUUGUGGCUUUGCAGGCACAGUGGGAAUCGCCGCAUGGCAUCGUGUUGGGACGUGGCAGCGACAGAAAGGGACACCACGAGGUGGCUGAGCAGGAGUGAUGUGGCGAGAGGCACCCUGAGAUGGAGGCACACACAAAGCCACGUGGCACAGAGCCAUGGCACCGGGUUAACCCAGCUAUGCAAAUGGGGCGAAGGUGUGCGACUCCGCUCAAAACAUCCAGUGGCCCGCUUGCCCAACAUCAGCUGGCAAAAGUUGCUGCCCAAGCACAAAAAUCCCUCACGCCUAUUUAAGUCCUUAAUUCUUCCACCCUAGUGGCCAGCCUCUUGUAUCCAAUUGGCUGCUGGUACCCUUCUCUCGUCCCUCUGUGGCCUAGUUGUUCCUACUUGGCUGCCUCUGCCUCUGUUCCUUCCAGCAAUUUCGGCUGCCUCCCUAGGCCUCUUGAGGUUCUGCACCUGCCUCUUCCUUAGGCUGCAGGCAGCCACCUUGAAAACCCUGCCUAUGUGGACCUCCUAAAUCCCCUUCGCAUGCUAGACUGGGGGCAUUAGAGCACUCACCGAGAACACAGCUUCUGCAACAGGAGCUCCUUAGAGGUUAUGACCACUGGCAAUCUCGGCUGAGUCUUUUGAGAAACGGCACUUUGCCCGCCCUACUUUUUUCCCAACCAUGAGGGCUAGAAAUCCACCUUAUUUUAAUAAAAGCAAAAGCUGAAACUUCUUAAGGUUCUGUGAAUAUCCUGGCUGCCCACGUAAACGUUUAUUUGCCUGGGGCCUACCACCAGUUGGGUUUUUCUUUUUUUGCAUGCCUGGGUUAAUCUUGUGGUCAUGAAGGGAAAAGGGUACAUUGCUGGCCUUGAUGGGAUGUCGGAUGCACAAGGUUUACCCUACGUCAUGGAGUUAUGGGCACAUGUGUGAUGGGAGCCACGUAGUACAGAAACGUGGCGUGGCUCAGACAAGCAGCGUGCUACGCCACAUGGUUAACGGUUGUGGGAAGGACUUAGCUGUAUGGCACAGAACUACGGUUUCAGAGGAGCAGGAGUGGGGCGGUUAGCUGCAUGGCACAGUUGUGGCGGGGGUGUCGGUGGCCAGCUGUCGAUUUUAAGAGUCACAGCACAGGUGAAGUGGUAAAAUGGGGCCAGCCACAAGGCCUACAGUCAUCGUACAAAUUCCCCCGCACACUUUUCCCCACAGCUCGUAAUCCCUGACGUGGAGAUUGAGAGGGGAGGAGUCAAGGAGUCGUCCCCCGCCCCCCGCUCUUGGACGGAGCAUCACUCUGAGGAUCCCAGCAAUGAGCAGCAGCAAGAGCAACCCCUCCCUGGCCUGUGUCUUGGGGGGGAGAAAGCAGUCCGUGCACUGGGUCCCGGUGUCCAAAUGGCUGCAAUGGGGAGAGCAAAUUAUGGAGCACCCCCUUGUAAUGCUGGGCUCUUGUUUCUUUGGCAGCUGAGCAUUGGGGGAGGGGAAGGGGGAUGCUCCAUCCACAGCACAGAUAUGGUCAGUAUCCGAGACCUCUCGCCCCUUGGAAUCGGUGCAGGAGCACAUGGCGCCGAAGGAGAGAGCACAAGAGACCCAGAGUGGGAGCACCUACCCACACCCUACUUUUAUGUCGCUUUGUCUUCCCUGUUCCAGCCCCUCAAUCUUGGCUACCCAUCCGGAGCUGGAAUUCCUGGUUGCCACAGAUACCCCUCUGGCAGAAGAACGUUAAGAGAGACUCCCAACUUCUAUGGGAAAUUGUCUUGUUAUCUUCCCCGUUCUGGAAGUGCAGAAAUACGCAAUACAUUUCCAAAUGGAGGCGGCGUGGAAAUAGCCUUUGAAAUGAGGACAAAAUGAAGCUUGUUGUUGAAUAUGCAAGGUGUGAGCUGGAGCACAACAGCACGCAUGUAUAUGGGGACCACACUACAACUUGCGAAGAAGCUGUUUUGCAGACUAUUAAAGCCAGGGUUGUGUGUACUCUGUGGUAUAAAUGGAGUGAGACUUGUUUGCUUUUGUAUUACCAGUGUGAAUUCAGGGUGUGAUAUGAAUUCACUCAUCUGGUAUGACCAAUGAGAUGCAGCUCUACAUCAGCUGAACAUCAGGUGUUUCACAAGAGAGUGUAUAAAGCAGGCUUGGAAUUAGCAACUUGUCUGAUCACUGAUGGGGGACUAUUCACUGCUUCCAGGCAAUUUACCACAAGGCUUUUGUAAACAGGAACAGAUCUGGG
rnacentral:lncRNA from 1 species